UGCAUUCAGUAUUGUAAGAUGCUCUGGAUAAGAGCAUCUGCUAAAUAACUAAAA
rfam:Salmo salar isolate Sally breed double haploid chromosome ssa07, whole genome shotgun sequence.